CGCGUAGGCGGCGAGGCAAGUUGGAUGUGAAAGCCCUGGGCUCAACCUAGGAUGUGCAUACAAAACUGCCUCGCUUGAAUCUCGGAGGGGGUCAGGGAAUUCCCGGUGUAGAGGUGAAAUUCGUAGAUAUCGGGAGGAACACCAGUGGCGAAGGCGCUGACCUGGACGAUGAUUGACGCUGAGGCGCGAAAGCGUGGGGAGCAAACA
rnacentral:rRNA from 1 species